rnacentral:rRNA from 1 species
GGGUGCGAUCAUACCAGAGUUAAUGCAUCCGAUCCCAUAAAAUAUCCGCAGUUAAGCAUGCUUGGUCUAGAGUAGUACUGGGAUGGGUGACCUCCUGAGAAGUCCUAGUGUUGCACCCU